GAGAAUCACUGAGAGCUGCUACC
rnacentral:piRNA from 1 species